GGAAGAAGAAGGAAGCCAAAGUAUCUGAUGCACUGGAGAAUGAAAACCCGUUCAAAAUCAGAAGUAUAGAGAAGUUUUCUGUAAAAUGGAAAUGAGUAUCAUGAAGUUUUAAAUGAACAGUGUAAAACAGAAGACAUCAGCAUUCAUUAGGUCCCAGACCUCUUUGAGAAUCUGAUGAAAUUCUGGACAACCUCUCCUCCCACAAACAAGAUGUACUAGAAUACCUACACAUAAAAUGUUGCAUUCAAUUUUGGAAUGUGAAGAGAUCAUUUGAAGCCGAUCCAGAGGCCUCUAAGAUGUCUUAAAACUAUUUAAGGGGAUCCACGCAAAAUGUUGUUCCCUUAAAAGAGGGCACAUCUCUCUCACGUGGAGAAAUACUGGUAAGAGGAAAAGACUUUCAAGUCAACCAACUUGAUGUGGUGUGCAGGUGCUGCAAUUUACUUCAGACAUUGCAUCUAUAAAAGAAAGAUAAGGUCUCGGCUGGCAAGAUGGCCUAAGAGGAACAGCUCCAGUCUGCAGCUCCCAGCAAGAUUGAUGCAGAAGUGACCGGAUCUCACUCUGGCACCUAGACUGGAGGGUACUGGCAUGAACUCCUGGGCUCAGAUGUCCUCCCACCUCCACCUUCUGAGUAGCCGGAAUUACAGGAAUGAACCAUCAUGCUCAGAUUUCAAGCUCCCUGAAGAUGAAGGCUGAAUCCUACACCUCGCUUGUAUCCUCCAUGGCUCAUUGAACAAGUGCUAGCUAGCUACAUGGAGACUGCUCAAUAAAUAUUGAAUAACUCACGAGGGACUCAAUAAAUAACGAUUGCUUAAUUGA
rnacentral:lncRNA from 10 species